GCGAAGGGAGCGCCAGUGCGUAGCGACGAUUCUGGGAGAGGAGGUGCUCGGAGGAAAGGGCGGGGGUUGCUGAUGUAAUGGGGAGAAGUGAUUAAUCCUUCAGUUCGCCGUUUCAGCUUCCCCCCCACCCCAACCUUCACCCGAUUUUUUGAGCUGAAAAAAAAGUGGAACGAGGGAGCCAAUCUGGUCCCACAAACUCCAAGGAAUAGAAAAACCCUCAAGAGGAAUUACCUUUCUAUCUGACGCCCCCAACAUAAUCUCUCUCCAAGGAAAACUUGUUUUUAUUCCCUUGCUACUGCUACGAUGACUGAAAACGUACUCUUUCUUGAUUCUCCCCCUUCUCUCUUGUUUUGCAUUUUUUGAAUGUGGUAAAACUGGCAGUUUAUCUGAUUCUCUGGUUUUCAGAACUUUGGGUGAUGUCUCUUUGGUUCGAGUGUCAUCAGUUGCUGUCUUGGUUUGACAUCGAUACUUAAGCUAACUACAAAGCAUGAUAAGGGAAAGCUGAGAUGGAGGAAAGUAUGUUUUGGGAGGAGGGAGAGACGCGGAGAGGCAAGCCUGUAUCUUGCAGUGUGUUCAGUCCCAGCCUUGGUGUGUGACUACAGGCAAAGUACUUCACCUUUCUAGAUACCAGGUCCCCCCUCACCUCCCCAGUUUAAAUAAGUACUUAUUUUAGACUACACGAUCUUGUUUUCAGUUUUUAAGGGUUCUAUUUUGAGAUGAUCUCUCUUUAGUCCAGAAAAAUAGAGAAACAUAGAUUUAUCUUUGUUUCUCAAAAAAAUAUUUGAGGAGGACAGCUGUCAAAAACAGCUGGAGAACUUCAGAUUUUUAUGGUUGUUAGCUAGGUGCAAAUGGGUACAAUUUUAGGUUUGUUCAAAUAAACAUAGGAGAGAAGCAAAAGUACAGGAGAAUUACAUGAUACUAUACAUAAGUAUGUCCAUAAUUUUUUAUUUUUCUAAAAAAAGUACUUAUUGGCUCCUUCCACGUAUGCAUUAAUAUGUAUGUAAGAUGUUAUGGGAAAUACUAAUAAAAGAAAAAUAUUGGGCAUAAA